GACCCAGUGGUGCAAUGUUUAGCAUGUCUGCACAGGAUUGGAAGUUUGAGAGGAUUCCGCAGGUCCCCGUUUGACCCGGGGCUGGGUCA